rnacentral:rRNA from 1 species
UACGUAGGGACCGAGCGUUGUCCGGAAUCAUUGGGCGUAAAGAGCGUGUAGGCGGCUUGCUAAGUCUUGCGUGAAAUCUCGGGGCUCAACCCCGAGCGGUCGUGGGAAACUGGCAGGCUAGAGUGCGGGAGAGGAGAAUGGAAUUCCUGGUGUAGCGGUGAAAUGCGCAGAUAUCAGGAGGAACACCGGUGGCGAAGGCGGGUCUCUGGGCCGAUACUGACGCUGAGGAGCGAAAGCGUGGGGAGCGAACAGG